GUCGAGAAUCAUUCGCAAUGGGCGAAAGCCUGACGGUGCGACGCCGCGUGGAGGAUGAAGGCCCUAGGGUCGUAAACUCCUGUCAUCAGGGAGUAAAGACUCGCGUAGUCACUGGCGCGGGUCCUGAUAGUACCUGAAGAGGAAGGGACGGCAAACUUCGUGCCAGCAGCCGCGGUAAUACGAAGGUCCCAAGCGUUGUUCGGAUUUACUGGGCGUAAAGAGUCUGUAGGCGGCGGGGUAAGUCAGAUGUGAAAUCCCGGGGCUCAACCCCGGGACUGCGUCCGAUACUGCCUUGCUAGAGUAUUGGAGGGGAGCCUGGAAUUCUCGGUGUAGCAGUGAAAUGCGUAGAUAUCGAGAGGAACACUAGUGGCGAAGGCGAGGCUCUGGACAAUUACUGACGCUGAGAGACGAAGGCCAGGGGAGCGAAAAGGAUUAGAAACCCCGGUAGUCC
rnacentral:rRNA from 1 species